ACCUUGCCCUCGUCUCUUCCAAUCGGCUGGCAGCUGGAGAGCAGGAUGGGACCAGCGUCAGGAGGCAGGAAGACAAGGCUGCGGCGGAGGAUCUGGUGGCCUCUCCCGGGGGGCCCUUUCCCCUCAUCCUCUCUGCUUACUGCAGCUCGCCCGGCCCUAAACCCAGCCCCCAAGCCCGGCCCGGCCCCAGCCCAUCCGCACUGUGACUCAGCAAUGAAGUCGGCCCCACCCGACGGGAGAGAGAAGGGAGGAGAGGAUGAGGAAACAGGGACCCAGAGAGGUUCAUGGAUUUCUUAAGGUCACACAUCUGCAGUUGGCUGAUUUGGGAAGAACCUCAGAGCUGCCCAGUGGAGCACAGGUGGUGCUGUCUGGAUGCAUGUGGGUCCCCAUCCCCAUUCCACAGGAGGGGACUCCCAGCAUCAGUGAGGGCCCUUCCCCAUGGAGAGGUGCCAGAGAGCUGGGGGAGCCUUGCUCUCACACCC